UACGGGGGGGGCAAGCGUUGUUCGGAAUUACUGGGCGUAAAGGGCCAGUAGGCGGCCAACUAAGUCCGACGUGAAAUCCCCAGGCUUAACCUGGGAACUGCGUCGGAUACUGGAUGGCUUGAAUUCGGGAGAGGGAUGCAGAAUUCCAGGUGUAGCGGUGAAAUGCGUAGAUAUCUGGAGGAAUACCGGUGGCGAAGGCGGCAUCCUGGACCGACAUUGACGCUGAACAGCGAAAGCUAGGGGAGCAAACGGG
rnacentral:rRNA from 1 species